CCUACGGGGCGCAGCAGUGAGGAAUAUUGGUCAAUGGCCGGAAGGCUGAACCAGCCAAGCCGCGUGAAGGACGAAGGUGCCAAGCAUUGUAAACUUCUUUUGUCAAGGGACAAAAUCAGGCUCGAGAGCCUGACCGAGGGUACUUGAAGAAAAAGCAUCGGCUAACUCCGUGCCAGCAGCCGCGGUAAUACGGAGGAUGCGAGCGUUAUCCGGAUUUAUUGGGUUUAAAGGGUGCGUAGGAGGACUGUUAAGUCAACGGUAACAGCCCGGGGCGCAACCCCGGCGAGCCGUUGAAACUGGCUGUGUUGAGAUGUCGAGAGGUAUGCGGAAUGCGCAGUGUAGCGGUGAAAUGCUUAGAUAUUGCGCAGAACUCCGAUGGCGAAGGCAGCAUACCGGCGGCGAUCUGACGCUGAGGCACGAAAGCGUGGGUAUCGAACAGGAUUAGAUACCCGUGGAGUC
rnacentral:rRNA from 1 species